AGAGUUUGAUCCUGGCUCAGAACGAACGCUGGCGGCGUGCUGAGACAUGCAAGUCGUGGGAGAAAGUCGGAGCAAUCCGGCUAGUAAACCGGCGCACGGGUGAGUAACACGUGGACAACCUGCCCUGGAGACUGGGAUAACCCGUCGAAAGACGGACUAAUACCGGAUAAGACCACGAGGGGUUCGCCCCUCGAGGUAAAAGGUGGCCUCUGCUCCUGCAAGCUAUUACUCCAAGAAGGGUCCGCGCCCUAUCAGCUAGUUGGUGAGGUGACGGCUCACCAAGGCAAAGACGGGUAGCUGGUCUGAGAGGAUGGUCAGCCACACUGGGACUGAGACACGGUCCAGACUCCUACGGGAGGCAGCAGUGGGGAAUAUUGCGCAAUGGGCGAAAGCCUGACGCAGCGACGCCGCGUGGGGGAUGAAGCUUCUCGGAGUGUAAACCCCUUUCGACCCGGACGAAUGACCCGCAAGGGUUUGACGGUACGGGUAUAAGAAGCCCCGGCUAACUACGUGCCAGCAGCCGCGGUAAUACGUAGGGGGCCAGCGUUGCUCGGAAUUACUGGGCGUAAAGGGUUCGUAGGCGGUGCGGCAAGUUGGGAGUGAAAUCUCUGGGCUUAACCCAGAGGCUGCUUUCAAAACUGCCGUGCUCGAGUGCGAGAGAGGUCAGUGGAAUUGCAGGUGUAGCGGUGAAAUGCGUAGAUAUCUGCAGGAACACCCGUGGCGAAGGCGGCUGACUGGAUCGCAACUGACGCUGAGGAACGAAAGCUAGGGGAGCAAACAGGAUUAGAUACCCUGGUAGUCCUAGCCCUAAACCAUCAGGACUUGGGGUGGCCCGCGUAGGCGGGUCGUCCCGUAGCUAACGCGUUAAGUCCUGCGCCUGGGGAGUACGGUCGCAAGACUGAAACUCAAAGGAAUUGACGG
rnacentral:rRNA from 1 species